rnacentral:lncRNA from 1 species
AUCUUUUUCUUUCCAAAAACAGAUCUUUUACAAGAUUAACUGUAAUAUGAAGAACUCCAAGAUAAUAAGGAUGGAAGAUUUAGAAAGACGAUGCUGGGUGGGCGUCAGCCCUUUUUUAACUUGGUGCUAAAAGUGAUGACGAGGUUUUUGGGGGCAUAGAUGGACUUGAACCCUCAAGAUAAAACUAAUUUUAGUUUUCAUUUUCCUUGUGAUGGACUUUGGCUAUCAAAGGAGGAUUUUGAAAAAUUCAUAUUUAACUUUGUAAAGAACCUCAUUACUUGGGUCUUAAAUUCUUGAGCCAAGGUUUUAAUAAGAAGAGAUGUUGGGAAGUAAUUGGCCAUCUCAAUAACUUGUGAGCUUGUAAAAGAGACGAGAAGUUCAUAUGAAGACUGAAGGUAUGUAGUGGACAGGAAGAUAUUUAGAGAAAAGGAGAAAAUUGUUCUCUAUAACUUUAUUUCUAACAUAAGUAAUCCUUGACGGGAAAAUGAAUUUGGAAAUAACAUGGGAGCAAUGUUCUUGGUUGGAAAGGUUCGGAGGAGCAAAUAUGAUAUGGACCUAAAUGAAUGGAAUUGCUAGAGAACCUAAGAGGCUUAUUCACAAAAUGGGACUCUAGAAAGCAAUGGCAUGGCUUGGGUGCUUGCGUAUUGGUGUCUGACACAUGUACGGAUGUGCAGGUUGACCCCCUUUUCUGGUUCUUUAUAGUUGGACAUGUCUUUGAUGCACACUGAUUUUUAGAAAAAAAUGAGAAGGAGAAACUAAUUGUUUCUCGUCUUUAUCAAUCUAUGAUAGAAGGGUCGUGCAAUGGUGGGUAGAUAAGAUGGCAAAGGGUUGAAGAUGAAGGCGUCGUUGUAGGUGGGUCACUAGUAAUAUCGAACGGUGGAUGUCUGAGUUUGACGAUGCAGUGAAAAGAAUGAAUGCGGAAAAAAAAAAAAAAAACCAUCUUUGUUCAGCAAUUAAAAUGCAUUGCUUUAUUAACUGGGCAAACACCUAUUUUAUUUAAAGAGCACUCACUCUUUCGAUUAAAUAGGCCAAAAUUGAGUCAUAACUUAUAAGCUUUUAAAAUUAACGAAAUUAGGAGUCUAUUUUUUUUUAGAUUCAAGAGCAGAUGCACUUAACAAUCAAAAUUUGGGAUAUUAACGUCUACUAAAACAAUUACAAAAUUGAACAAACAUAAGCAUAUCUGAUGGCAAACACCUAUUUUAUUUAAAGAGCACUCACUCUUUUGAUUAGAUAGGCCAAAAUUGAGUCAUAACUUAUAAGCUUUUAAAAUUAACGAAAUUAGGAGUCUAUUUUUUUUUAGAUUCAAAAGCAGAUGCACUUAACAAUCAAAAUUUGGGAUAUUAACGUCUACUAAAACAAUUACAAAAUUGAACAAACAUAAGCAUAUCUGACAUAAAACCCUCCUUUACUUCAACAUGUACG